GGAUAGAAUUCUUUCAGUCAAGUCAGGUUAGAAGUUCCCAAGUACCUCUCCAAAUACUGAACAGAAUCGUGGAAGAUGAUCAGGAAACUAUAGCCCCAACUAAGGUUGCUUGCUUCUUUCAUAUUGGUGGUUGCUCAUGAUGCCUUUUGAAAGAAGAAUUUGCAAAGAAGAGAGAUCACACUUUGCAGCAAAUGCUACCUGAGUGAAAGGAGCUCUGACACGUAUUUCUCAAAAAGGUGAUUGGAUUGAUGGAGAACAGCUAUUCGUAAAUCAAAGUGAAACACCUGAUCAUCUACUUUUGCAUCGCCUAUCAUCUCAUACUAAUAAAGGUUAUUUUACAGCGAAGGUAUUAUAGAGCAGGCAGGAUGAGGAGUAGGCACAUGUCACGAGCUUAAAUAUUGGCCAGUGCACCAAGCCCUGGUAUUUAAGUGGAGAAGUGUAGAGUAAGGAGCCCAUUCAAAGCUAGAAACAAU
rnacentral:lncRNA from 1 species